UCCUCCGGUGCUUCCCCUUCCACCUCUCGCAAAAAUUCAAAACAGAGUUUGCGCCCGUCGAUCCGCUCCAACUCCAAGCAAGCCGCCACUACCUCCCCAACCGGACCCAUGGCUUCCGCCAAGGAGACCUAUCGCGCCGAGCUCCGCGCCGCCGCCCGCCAGCUCGGCGAGCGCUGCCUCUACUCUGCCGCCAAAUGGGCCGCCGAGCUGCUCGUCGGCGUAGACUUGGACGCGGCCCCGGCCUCGUCGGCCGCGAUGGACUCCCCGUCCUCCUCGUCCGCGGCCGCAGGGCGGUUGUUGCACCUGCACCGCAGCGGAGGUUCCAGCUUCCGCCACCGGCCCCGCCCCGGCGGCGGCAGCAGCUCGGAGGCCGGGACCCCGCUAGGCGGCGUGUCGUACGUUAGCACGCCCAUUCCCGACGACGACGCGUUCGAUUCGGGCGGUGACAAGUACCUGCUCGCCAAGACCUACUUCGACUGUCGGGAGUACCGCCGCGCCGCGCACGUGCUGCAGAACCAGGCUGGGCGCAAGGCUGUGUUCCUGCGAUGCUACGCGCUCUACAUGGCUGGAGAGAAGCGGAAAGAGGCAGAGAUGAUAGAGCUUGAAGGAUCGUUGGGAAAGAGUAAUGCUGUUAAUCAGGAACUAGUUGCUUUGGAGAGAGAACUGUCAACACAUCGGAGAACUGGCUCUAUUGAUUCAUUUGGGCUUUACUUGUAUGGCCUUGUUCUACGUGAUAAAGGAUGCGAAGGUCUAGCUAGAACGAUUUUGGUAGAGUCUGUCAACAGCUACCCUUGGAACUGGAGUGCUUGGUCAGAGUUACAAUCUUUAUGCACCAGCAGUGACAUUCUUAAUAACUUAAAUUUGAAGAAUCACUGGAUGAAAGACUUCUUUCUUGCCAGCACAUAUCUGGAACUAAAGAUGCAUGAAGAAGCUCUGAAAAGAUAUGAGCGCUUGAUGGGUGUCUUCCGCUGCAGUGGCUACAUUCAGGCUCAAAUUGCUACAGUGCAGUAUAGUAUGAGGGACCUGGAUGAAGCGGAGAUGAUUUUUGAAGAACUGCUCAGGACUGAUCCUUUCCGUGUGGAUUCUAUGGAUAUUUACUCAAAUUUACUAUAUGCAAAAGAAAGCUUGACUGCUUUGAGUUUCCUUGCACACAGAGUAUUUUUGACAGAUAAAUACCGCCCAGAAUCUUGCUGCAUAAUUGCAAAUUACUACAGUCUGAAGGGCCAGCAUGAGAAAUCAGUUUUGUACUUUCAAAGGGCACUAAAGCUUAAUCGAAAGUAUCUCUCAGCUUGGACCCUUAUGGGACAUGAGUAUGUUGAGCUGAAAAAUACUCCUGCUGCAAUUGAUGCCUACAGAAGAGCUGUUGAUAUUAAUCCUAGAGAUUUCCGUGCUUGGUAUGGUCUUGGUCAAAUCUAUGAGAUGAUGGGGAUGCCAUUUUAUGCACUUUAUUACUUCCGGAAAUCAUCAUAUCUGCAACCCAAUGAUGCUCGUCUCUGGAUUGCCAUGGCUCAGUGUUAUGAAAGCGAUCCACUUCAAAUGAUUGAAGAAGCCAUCAAGUGCUAUGAGAGGGCUGCAAAUAGCAAUGACACUGAAGGAAUAGCACUUCAUCAACUAGCAAAAUUACAUGGCAUGCUGGGGCAGUCUGAGGAAGCUGCAGUCUACUACAAGAAGGAUUUAGAGAGAAUGGAGGUUGAGGAAAGGCAAGGCCAGAAUUUUGUUGAAGCUCUGCUUUUCCUUGCUAAGCAUUACAAGAGCAUAGGCAGUUUUGAGGAAGCAGAGCACUAUUGUACAAGGCUCUUGGAUUACGCUGGUCCUGAGAAGGAGACUGCUAAAAAUAUGUUACAAGGGAUAAAAAGGUUACAGUCGGGGUUUCCGUCAAUGGAUAUUGACCAUUUUGCACUGUAAACUGUAAAGUCCACCUGCAGAUGAUUUAUUUGGUUGGGAAAUCUGGACAAGGAGUGUAACUGGGCAGGACAAUACAUGCUGGCUUUCACAAAAACAGCUGCAAGAGAAUACUGCUCAUGAACUAGGGGAGUUGGUUGGUACUCACCCGACUUGAAGAGUGAAGGAAAGAACACUAUUGAGGGCUGCCCACCGGAUGAAACUAGUGCCAUUGCAUAUCUCGAUCAGGAAUUACUUCCAGUCUCCCUUCACAGCGUGAUGCUUAGUGUGUGUAUCCUUGCUAUGCGACUCCAUACUGCUGGAGGUGACGAUCUUGUGCGCAUGAUGCUUGCUUCUAUUUGCUGGAGCCUGGCAACAAGGAGAACAAGGCGCCUGCAAGGUGCGAAGAUGAGCGUCAUUGGAAUGAUCCAGAUCCCUAAUGCAAAUAUCAGCAUAUCUGCCGCCUGGUUCCUACUGUAGGACAGCUACGUGUAGUACUCAGAAUUUCCGCUUGGGUGCCCACAUGAUGUAACCAUUGGAAUAAGGCAACAGCCCCAGGCGUCGGAUUUUGGAGGCCUGGGACUGGACUGCUGGAGUUUGCUCCCAGCGAUCCUCGGCGCGCAAGUUGUUCUCAUUCGCCCUUUUCCCAACCAAACAAUCAAACUGCGCCCGUUUUCAUCACUGCGGGGUGCGAUCCGAUCGGCUCGCAAGUUGUUCCUUUUGCCCUUCUGCGGUUGUUGGUGCCUAUUAUUGAACUUCCCCAUCUUCUUCCUUUCUGUUCGAAGAUGCUGUAGCGCCCGAUUCGCAGUACUUCCAUUGUCGGUUGUCGGGGGCGAACCAACUUGAACAGGUUAAUUCCUUGCGUUCCUGGUAAAAUGCAAUAUUCUUUUCCUUUUCGUGUCA